AACAAUAUCCUGGUGCUGAGUGAUGACUCAGGCGACUCCAGCAUCAGUGAUUUUGUUGA
rnacentral:pre_miRNA from 1 species